UGUUCAAACUAAUUAGUGCACCUACUGAAAUUCACUUAUGUGGACCAAUUGAAACGGUGUUUGGUAUUCACAAUUCCAAAUAGAAUUAAUAUAAACGUUAUACACACGUGACUAAUAGGGACUGGAAUUGCGCUUACGCCACAUGUCAAAAUAUAUAAAGUAGGAUUUUCUUACAUACUUAUGUUAGAGUUAGAUCAAUGUAUUUCACAAAACAUAGGUUCCUGAGGCAGAGUUGUGCGUUAUUUAAAAACAUAAAACCAAAAAGACAUAGUGUUAGGAUUUUUUUGUUUUCAGAUUACCUGUCAAUCGAAGUUGUUGUAGUUGCAACACGUCAAAUUUUACAACUGUUUGCUGCUGUUUGCAUUAUUUUAUCGCGUUUUGCUAUAGCGGAUAAAACAUUUGUUAGUUUCAUAACUUUUAUAGAAGCUCACUUCGAUAUUCUGCGCCAAAAAUGGUAUAACCCAAAAAUGCCAUCGGGUUGACCAAGGAAAAGUAAACACCUUAUUUCUAAUCUUAUUCAAUAUUUUGAACGAGAAAGAGGUAAUGGUGGUCCACUUUCACCAGUCGCAACAGUAAGAGAGAGAGUUGCAGGUGCAUGAAAUAUUAGCGAACACUGACUGAAGAAUAAGGCAAUAACAUCCUACGCUUCAAUCCUAUUUGCAAGUUCUAAAAUAGGGAGGCGUAUUUUAUGGAUAAAAGAGAUAAUCCAAGAAAAGGAAUUACCCAAUAUUGAACUAUCAAGAGUAUAUUUUUUAGAUGUGUAAAAAAAAUAUGCAACCUGGGACUUGUAAUAGCCCUACUAUUACCGUCUCACGUUUCUGAUUGAUAAAAAAUAAAUCUACAUAAAUAAACAGAUUAUAUUGAAAAAAAUAAAAUAAAUCCAAAUU